ensembl:lncRNA
AGCUAAACCCACUGAUUCACCAGACCAGUCUGCCCCAACCCACAGGGUCUCAUCCAAAACCUCAAAGGGAGUGAAGGAGACUAAAAGGACGAGGACAUUAGUUUGUAGUAACAGCACUGGAAAUCUCAUCAGACCCUCCUCAGUCAUAACCAAGAGAACUCGCCGCUUGGCAAGUUGCAAGACCAACGACCUGUCCCCGCUGAGCCAGUCCAGACUUAAACUCAGGUCUGUGGUCUCUGCUGGUGAUCUGCACUGUUCUACAGCAGGCUCUACUGCACAUAUCGCUGUAACCACAGCACAGGGGCUGGUACUUUUUUUUUUUUUUUUUCUUUCUCUACAUUUCAGAGUCAAACUUGGCCUAAAACUAAGGAGUUUGUCCUUGUUCUUGAGUUCAGUGUAUGGAGUCAGAUUUUUGAAUAAAGUGUUCCUUAUGUGAGCUGAGGUCCUGUGGUUUAACAGAUUCUAGACAUUGAUGUUUUUCACAAGUCAAGUGUUUCUCUUCAUAGAUGGUGAGCUUUUCUGAAGAGACUAAAGAUGACAUUAACUGGGACAUGCUGGAUGACGUGGCGCGGUGCCAGAUUAAGAAGCUCUCGGUAGGAGAAGGCCCACUUCAUUACAAACUGUACAUAGAAACUCCAUUUGAAACUGUUAUUUCACUUUUCAGAGUCUGAUAGAUUAUCUGUCACAGCGGAGUGGCUGCGACAGAUGACCGAAGAAACCCAAAUAUCCCCGUGUCCAGGAUGUCUGUCCAGAUGGAGCUCAGAAACGCAUUUAACUUCAAGAAGUUUCUAUUAUACGUGUUCAGCUGAACAGUGUAUUUACAAUGCAUUUGUGUGGGUUUUAAAACUAAUAAUAAAAGAUUAAGUGUUAAUUCAUGACUAAGUGCCAAAUUAUU